AUCAAAUUUUCUGAAGAUAGUGAAGUCCAAAGCUGACUCCCAAGAGUUACAAAAGGGAUCUCACAAAACUGGGUGACUGGGCAACAAAAUGGCAGUUGAAAUUCAAUGUUGAUAAGUGCAAAGUAAUGCACACUGGAAAACAUAAUUCCAACUAUACAU